CAGCAGCCACGGUAAUACGUAGGGUGCGAGCGUUAAUCGGAAUUACUGGGCGUAAAGCGUGCGCAGGCGGUUGUGUAAGACAGGUGUGAAAUCCCCGGGCUUAACCUGGGAACUGCGCUUGUGACUGCACAGCUAGAGUAUGGCAGAGGGGGGUGGAAUUCCACGUGUAGCAGUGAAAUGCGUAGAGAUGUGGAGGAACACCGAUGGCGAAGGCAGCCCCCUGGGCCUAUACUGACGCUCAUGCACGAAAGCGUGGGGAGCAAAUGGGAUUAGAUACCCCGGUAGUCCCUGUCUCUUAUAC
rnacentral:rRNA from 1 species